AGUGAGGCGGUGCGAGCGGAGGGUGAAAGAAGAAGGGGGGGAGCGUUGGUGGGAAUGGCUGGGCAUGAAGGGCCGGCAGGAAGCAGGCGAAGGCUGGGGUGAAAGACUGUGGCUCAACAGCGUGAGGGCCCUCGGUGCGGGGAGGCGAGAGACCGGAAGAGGUUGGUGGAAUUGCGAGUGUAGCGGUGAAAUGCGUAGAUAUUCGAAAGAACACCGGUGGCGAAGGCGGCCAAAGGGUCCGGAUCUGACGCUGAGGCGCGAAAGCGUGGGGAGCAAACAGGAGUAGAUACCCGAGUAGUC
rnacentral:rRNA from 1 species